rnacentral:rRNA from 1 species
GGAGGAAAAGAAACCAACAGGGAUUGCCUUAGUAGCGGCGAGUGAAGCGGCAAAAGCUCAAAUUUGAAAUCUGGCACUUUCAGUGUCCGAGUUGUAAUUUGAAGAAGGUAUCUUUGGGUCUGGCUCUUGUCUAUGUUUCUUGGAACAGAACGUCACAGAGGGUGAGAAUCCCGUGCGAUGAGAUGUCCCAGACCUAUGUAAAGUUCCUUCGAAGAGUCGAGUUGUUUGGGAAUGCAGCUCUAAGUGGGUGGUAAAUUCCAUCUAAAGCUAAAUAUUGGCGAGAGACCGAUAGCGAACAAGUACAGUGAUGGAAAGAUGAAAAGAACUUUGAAAAGAGAGUGAAAAAGUACGUGAAAUUGUUGAAAGGGAAGGGCUUGAGAUCAGACUUGGUAUUUUGUAUGUUACUCUCUCGGGGGUGGCCUCUACAGUUUACCGGGCCAGCAUCAGUUUGAGCGGUAGGAUAAGUGCAAAGAAAUGUGGCACUGCUUCGGUAGUGUGUUAUAGUCUUUGUCGAUACUGCCAGCUUAGACUGAGGACUGCGGCUUCGGCCUAGGAUGUUGGCAUAAUGAUCUUAAGUCGCCCGU